CUCUGCCAAGCCGGGGCCGUUCCCUGCCCCAAAGCCAGCCCCCCUCUCUCCAGGCUGACCCUGACUGAAAGCCCAGUGCAGGAUAUUGAACCCGUAUCCUGUUCCAACCCUUUGGGACUAGAAACUGCCUUGUUUUGGGCAGUCCCCACCUCAGUGCCAGGACUGGAAUCUGGGGAGUCAGGAGGCAGCAAGCCGCUGGUGCUGCCCAGCUAAGACUUCGAGAAGCACCCGAGCCUCAGAGCAGGUUUCAGCUAGCACCCCCAAAGUGGCAGAGGCCCAAGGACAUAAAGGUCGUUUUCAAAUUAGAUUGACCAGGGCCCAAGGCUGGUCAAGGAAGGAGGAAGAAGAAACGGGUGAGAGUCGAGAGGGAAGCUAAGUCCCCAGAAGGAUGGCCCCUCACCACAACCGUGGAGGGAAAAAGCCAGGCCCCAGUGGGCUCUGAAUCCUCCAGGCCUGGCACAGAGCCAGGCACAGAUGGGUGCAGAGUCUCUGCUGGAUGGAUGAAUGAAUGAACAAGUUGGUUCUUCCCUCUCCGGAUCCGAGUGCGUUUUCCGGAGCCACCCUCCCUCCUGAUACACGAAGCCCGGAGAGGAAGUGACUAGGCAGCCAAGUCCAGAGAGGAAACACGAGUCCCUGUGAGAUCUGUCCAGGAACAGGAGACUAAGAGAGGACAGAACAGGCACCAGUAUUCCGAAGCAGCACCCCAACUCCUGUUGUCUCCCUACAAAAGCUUGGGUACCACAGGCUUAGCCAAGCCCUUGACUAUUUUCAUCUCGUUUAAUCCUCCCAAAGACCUUUGGAGUGGUGCUGUUUCAUCUUUAAAAUGCCAGCAAUUUGCCCACAUGCUCAGCUCUGCUACAAUGUGUUAUUUUCAGAUCUAGCAAUGAACUACAGAAUGGUAGAAGUGGAAGAGCCUUUGAGAUGAAUUAGUCCGGGCCAGAGUUGGGGAGACAGGGGGAGGGAGGCUGAGCAUACAGGCUGCAAAGCCUCCCCUCCCUCUUCUUCCUUCUGCUCCUAAAAUAAAACCGAACAAAAGACUGGAAAGUUACUGGAUCAGAGAAUUCAGCAUCUCCCUCCUAACUCCCUGGGAUUUUAUUAUUCAAGAUAGCAAGCAGGACCUACAUCCUGGAGCAAGAAGAAGCUCAGAUCUCCCUGCCGGUGGGUGUGAUUUUGAACGUGCGAAAAGGCAGGAGCCUCUGGGCCCCUCCCUCCAGCGGAGACUUGUCCUCCUCAAGCCCCGUCUGGGAUGCUGCGAGGCUGCA